UACGUAGGUCCCGAGCGUUGUCCGGAUUUAUUGGGCGUAAAGCGAGCGCAGGUGGUUUAUUAAGUCUGGUGUAAAAGGCAGUGGCUCAACCAUUGUAUGCAUUGGAAAUUGGUAGACUUGAGUGCAGGAGAGGAGAGUGGAAUUCCAUGUGUAGCGGUGAAAUGCGUAGAUAUAUGGAGGAACACCGGUGGCGAAAGCGGCUCUCUGGCCUGUAACUGACACUGAGGCUCGAAAGCGUGGGGAGCAAACAGG
rnacentral:rRNA from 1 species